UACGUAGGGGGGCUAGCGUUGUCCGGAAUCAUUUGGGCGUAAAGCGCGUGUAGGCGGUCCGGUAAGUCCGCUGUGAAAGUCGGGGGCUCAACCCUCGAAAGCCGGUGGAAACUGUCGGGCUAGAGUGCGGAAGAGGCGAGUGGAAUUCCUGGUGUAGCGGUGAAAUGCGCAGAUAUCAGGAGGGAACACCGAUGGCGAAGGCAGU
rnacentral:rRNA from 1 species